rnacentral:rRNA from 1 species
UAGGGAAUCUUCGGCAAUGGACGAAAGUCUGACCGAGCAACGCCGCGUGAGUGAAGAAGGUUUUCGGAUCGUAAAACUCUGUUGUUAGAGAAGAACAAGGACGUUAGUAACUGAACGUCCCCUGACGGUAUCUAACCAGAAAGCCACGGCUAACUACGUGCCAGCAGCCGCGGUAAUACGUAGGUGGCAAGCGUUGUCCGGAUUUAUUGGGCGUAAAGCGAGCGCAGGCGGUUUCUUAAGUCUGAUGUGAAAGCCCCCGGCUCAACCGGGGAGGGUCAUUGGAAACUGGGAGACUUGAGUGCAGAAGAGGGGAGUGGAAUUCCAUGUGUAGCGGUGAAAUGCGUAGAUAUAUGGAGGAACACCAGUGGCGAAGGCGGCUCUCUGAUCUGUAACUGACGCUGAGGCUCGAAAGCGUGGGGAGCAAACAGG